rnacentral:rRNA from 1 species
UGAGGAACAUGACCUUCGGCGGGGGAGUAGCCGGCCCAACGGCCGGGUAAUACCGCGUACGACCACUUUGGGACAUCCCUCGGUGGUGAAAGCAGCAAUGCGCCGAUGGAGUGCCUCGCGGCCUAUCAGCUAGUUGGUGAGGUAACGGCUCACCAAGGCGACGACGGGUAGCUGGCCUGAGAGGAUGGCCAGCCACAUUGGGACUGAGACACGGCCCAGACUCCGUACGGGAGCA